UGGAAACUUACAGUGAAAUUUUCGUUGUUUAUAGCUUUCUUGGGGAAGAAAACACAUGCACAAAUCCUGGUGUAAGGAAUAUUUUAAGCAUAUAUCUUCAAUAUCAUUCAUCCAGGACCGAGCAAGACCAACACUCUUCCUCCUCCUCUGCCUACUCAAUGUGAAGACAAUGAGGAUGAACACCUUUAUGAUGCUCCACUUCCACUUAUUGAAUAGUGCUACACAUGAAACUUGUAACCAGUUACUACAGGCGAAAGCAAAUCCAUGUCUUCAGGCUGGUGUCAUCAGGGAGAGAAGCUUUGGUUUCCACAUAAGGAUAUAAGAUCAUUGAUGUAAAACAAGUGAGUUUCACUUUAUACCCAGGACAUGUAACCUCUCAAAUUGAGAGAAUGGAUUGGAGAGAUAUUGUUGACCAUGUUUUCCCCUGUAUCUCACCUUCCCCUCUCCAAGACUUCCUUGUCAGUUACCCAUAUUGAUAUCAGUUUAUCCACAUCCAUGCUUUCAAGUUUAAACAAAGAAACUAGGCAAAGGCAGCUAUGUAUUCGCUAGGAUUAGGGAGGAGAAGAUAAUGAACCACUGGAUAGUGAGAAGAAAGAGAGGUGGAGAAAGUGAGAGACCCCAGUAACAGAGGACAGGGACACAUUGCUAAGGAUAGGGACACAUUCACUGUAAUAUAGAAGGCCAUGCUUAUAUGUAAAAUAUGCAGUAAUUGUAUAUAUAUGUACAAAAGUGAUGACACACAUAUGCACAUAAACAAAACACAAUUACUGUCUAUGUUUCUUUAUUUGUGACCUAAUGUUUUAUGUUGUUUGUAACUGAAAAAAAAAUUCCCUUCUGAAUAAAAUGUCAAUUUUGCGAUUGCAUUUUUUCUUGUUUUUACUGUAAUAUUUCAAUUAUUUGUAUAUAUAUAUUUUUGAGACAGGAUUUCACUCUGUU
rnacentral:lncRNA from 10 species